GCAAGAUGUCCUCAAUACAUACAUAUUUGGCUUAGUCCCUUAUUAAUGGGUACGCUGAUAAGCAGAGGCCUUCUAAAGCUUUCCUUCCUUUGCCUCCUUUCGCUUUAAGUAGUCCCAAAGGAAGCUUUUGGUAUUUUUAUUUUAAUUUCAUUCGCCGCGACAUUUAAUUAAUUCCCAGUUAUCACCGCAAAAGCAGUCGACAGCUUUGCUCUUUGUUCCCUUUCCCUCGCUUCUUGAAGGUCUAAAUGAUGUCUAUCCAUUGGCGAGAAAAAACACAAUUUAAGCUAGGGUGUGUCGAGUCAUUCAAUGCCCUACAGCUCAUGUGGAAGUAGAGGAGUACUGCAAUGCGCUCCACAACGGUUAUACCCUUUGAUAAGUGUAUGAAAGCAUAUAAAUGCAGUCUUAUGGGAAAAUUCUCCACAUGCCACAGACAUUGCGGUGCUGGUACCCCAAAAAAACAGACGAUUUCAGAUGAG
rnacentral:lncRNA from 1 species